UCCUCCUGGCGCUGCGCAUCGCUCGGGGCGCGGCCGUGUGCGGGGCUGAGGCGUCUGUUGGCCGCCGUCCGCUCCGGGCGGCUCGUGUCUGGGCCGGGCUGCGGGGCUGAGGUGGUGUUAGCGGGGCCGGGAGGGGCUGUGCAGCCUUGUGAGGGCCGUCUGAGCUGCACCAAGCUGUGCCUGCGAGAGCUGCUCUUAUAGAUGGGACAGAACCCGAGGAUCCGAGAGAGCGCUGAGAACGGCAAAGGUGGUGUUCACGAGGAACCCAACAUUCCUGGAGCCUCUUUUGCUGCCACAGUGUUCCAUAUAUGGAAAGUCCAGUGAAGGUGCAAAGAAUAGGAAGGGGUGGCAUCCAAGGCUGUUGUGUGGGAAGAGGUACACUCUAGAAGAUGGACAGAGCUGCCACUUCAAGCCCAGAUCUGAAACGUUGGUGUAGUGGCCAAACAGCGAUGACCCAGAAAAGAUACUCCACUGCUGAACUGGAAAAGAGGCACAGAUAGAAAGCCAAGUUACCUGUCACAUUUAGUAAUGCUAAGUCCUCAUUAGAAAUGAGGACUUUUAUUUUGGACUCCCUGGCAAUGCUGCCAUGCCUUCUCAGAAUACUGGCUCUAAUGGCAUUUAACCUGCAGCCUGUUUUUAACACGCCCAUGCUGUGCAACCUUCCAGAUGGUACAGAAGAUGAUGUGGAGAUUGAAAACCCUGGCCUCAGUUCUUCUGCCAAGGAGACUCAAAUAUCUCCUUACAUGGAAAACCUAUGUGAAUAAACAUGGUGCAAGCAGCCAGAUUGUGUGUAGAAACUGUGAUGCCUUAGCAAUGAUUUCUGCAAAAGCUUUGGUUAGUAGGACAGCUGUACUGCACAAAAGAUAGAUUGACAUCUCUGAGCUUUUUUCACUACUGAACAGCAGAUUUCUUCACGCAGUGGAAAGUGGGGUCUCCCUUGAAUGGGAGCAGAAGUGAGUGCACCUCAUGUGGCUUAUAAGUGAAACAUUGUCCCCCUUGGCCCUUAGAACUGAGUCCUGAAACACUGAAUAUCUAAUUCCCUUUAUC